CUCUGGCAUCUAGCUGAAUCCUUCUCCAAAGUGUGUCUUUUCUUCACUAAGGCUUGUGAUGCUGAAAUGUAUGGAAUUUUUUCUUCAGAGUGAGCAGCAAGAUCUAAAGAAAUGAGAAAUGGCUGUGAGGAACUGCUGCAGCUUAGAUCUUCAGUUUUCUUAAGAGAAAACAGAGCAGGCCACUGUUCAGCUCUGAAAGGAUUUUGAACCUAAUAACAAUAACUGCUUCAGUCCAGCCGUCAGGAAAAAAAACAAAGGGGAAAAACCCUCUCCACUGGAAAACAAGCAUUUCAUCAAAACUCUCCUCCUGCUUUUACUGCACCAUAAUAACACUGAGUGUGCAGUAGAAGUAACCUUCAAUUCAAGCAUGGGAAAAAUUCCAAGGCAGCAACCCUGACAAAGGAAAUAGUUGUG
rnacentral:lncRNA from 1 species